ACCAGUGUGGUGUAGUGGUUUGAGUGUUGGACUGCAAUUCUAGAGACCAGGGUUUGAUUCCCAGCCUGGCC